UCCCUGGUGGUUCAGUGGCUGGGAUUCUGCACUCCUAGUGAAGGGGCCCAGGUUCAAUUCCUGGUCAGGGAA
rnacentral:tRNA from 1 species